UGCACACAGACAAAGACACACACACAUAGUGACAGUGGACCUACUCAGAAUGCGAGCGAACCCAAAGUCGCACAACUUGAUGACUCCAGUCUUGAAGUUGACCGCCUGUAGCGUCUGCCACACGAUGCUCUUCAGCUGAGCCUCGGGAAUCCUGCGGAAGGACAGCACAAGGAACAGAAAGUGGACCCAUUACAACAUUUCUUUCGAAAGCCAGGCCACAUGUAUUUCAGUACUAUUGGUUGCCUCUGUGUAGAAGACCCACUUGUGAGAGCACACAACAAACACAAAAUAGAUGGAUUUCAGAAGGUCUGAUUGCAGCAAGACUCACCCUCGAGGGUGUUUUUCAAGCUCGUUGAGGACCGUCUGCUCGCAGAACUCAAAGACGAG